GUCCUUUUGAAUUUUAUAAAAGGUCUGACCUGCCCAGUGAUAAUUUUAACGGCCGCGGUAUACUGACCGUGCAAAGGUAGCAUAAUCAUUAGUCUUUUAAUAGAGGGCUGGAAUGAAAGGUUUAACGAGGAAUUGACUGUCUCAUUUUAUUUGUUUUAGAAUUUAAUUUUUUAGUCAAAAAGCUAAAAUUUUAUUGGAAGACGAGAAGACCCUAUAGAUCUUUAUAAGACUUUAUUUAAUUAUUUUUAUAUUAAUUUAUUUAAAUAAUUUUUUAUUUUGUUGGGGUGACAAAAAUAUAUAUAUAACUUUUUUAUUUAUUUAACAUUAAUUUAUGAUUAUUAGAUCCAUUAUUAGUGAUUGAUAGAUUAAGUUACCUUAGGGAUAACAGCGUAAUCCUCCCCCAGAGUUCAUAUUUACGGGAUGGGCUUGCGACCUCGAUGUUGGAUUAAGAUGAUAAUUAGGUGUAGCCGCUUAAUUUAUAGGUCUGUUCGACCUUUAAACUCUU
rnacentral:rRNA from 1 species